AGAGUUUGAUCCUGGCUCAGAACGAACGCUGGCGGCAGGCCUCAAACAUGCAAGUCUAGGGGGUGUAGCAAUACAUCACCGGCGGACGGGUGCGUAACGCGUGGGAAUGUACCUAUUGGUUCGGAACAACUGAGGGAAACUUCAGCUAAUACCGGAUGAGCCCGAAAGGGGAAAGAUUUCUCGCCAAUAGAUCAGCCCGCGUCCGAUUAGCUAGUUGGUGGGGUUAUGGCCUACCAAGGCGACGAUCGGUAGCUGUUCUGAGAGGAAGAUCAGCCACACUGGGACUGAGACACGGCCCAGACUCCUACGGGAGGCAGCAGUUGGGAAUCUUGGACAAUGGGGGAAACCCUGAUCCAGCCAUGCCGCGUGAGUGAUGAAGGCCUUCGGGUUGUAAAACUCUUUCGACGGGGACGAUAAUGACGGUACCCGUAGAAGAAGCUCCGGCUAACUUCGUGCCAGCAGCCGCGGUAAUACGAAGGGGGCUAGCGUUGUUCGGAAUUACUGGGCGUAAAGCGCGCGCAGGCGGUCUUCCAAGUCAGUGGUGAAAGCCCGGAGCUCAACUCCGGAACUGCCAUUGAAACUGUUCGGCUCGAGUACGAGAGAGGUGAGUGGAAUUCCCAGUGUAGAGGUGAAAUUCGUAGAUAUUGGGAAGAACACCGGUGGCGAAGGCGGCUCACUGGCUCGUAACUGACGCUCAUGCACGACAGCGUGGGGAUCAAACAGGAUUAGAUACCCUAGUAGUCC
rnacentral:rRNA from 1 species